rnacentral:misc_RNA from 1 species
AGCUUCACGGGAGCCAAUGAGAAGAAGUCAUAUACAGUCACAUUCACCACCGCGACUGGUUCGGCGGCGCCACCCAACGCGGAAGGGUUCGGUCGAAUUGAGUGGUCGGACGGGAAGCACGUGGUGGGUAGUCCGAUUGCGUUUAGCUGGACAUAGAAAGAGGAGAAUGAAGAAGAUGGGAAUUGUUGAAUUUCCAUGGCUAAUGGGCCCAGAAAAUGGGGUACGUACGAUCGAUCGGACCUGAAAAUCGAAAGUUAAUGUAAUAUUUGUCGAAUUUCCAGCGAGAAAUAGAGCUGGAUUUUAGUGUUUUGUUUCUACUCUACCAUAAA